ACGCUGGCGGCAGGCCUAACACAUGCAAGUCGAGCGGAAACGAAGAGGUGCUUGCACCUCUGGCGUCGAGCGGCGGACGGGUGAGUAAUGCUUGGGAAUAUGCCUUAUGGUGGGGGACAACAGUUGGAAACGACUGCUAAUACCGCAUGAUGUCUACGGACCAAAGUGGGGGACCUUCGGGCCUCACGCCAUAAGAUUAGCCCAAGUGGGAUUAGCUAGUUGGUGAGGUAAUGGCUCACCAAGGCGACGAUCCCUAGCUGGUUUGAGAGGAUGAUCAGCCACACUGGGACUGAGACACGGCCCAGACUCCUACGGGAGGCAGCAGUGGGGAAUAUUGCACAAUGGGCGCAAGCCUGAUGCAGCCAUGCCGCGUGUGUGAAGAAGGCCUUCGGGUUGUAAAGCACUUUCAGUAAGGAGGAAAGGUUAAGUGUUAAUAGCACUUAGCUGUGACGUUACUUACAGAAGAAGCACCGGCUACUCGUGCCAGCAGCCGCGGUAAUACGGAGGGUGCGAGCGUUAAUCGGAAUUACUGGGCGUAAGCGUACCCAGGCGGUUUGUAAGCGAGAUGUGAAAGCCCCGGGCUCAACCUGGGACUGAUUUCAACUG
rnacentral:rRNA from 1 species